AUAGGUGUUUUCCAGAGCGAUCAUUAACGCAGAACACACACCAUUGGGCUCUUGAAGGGACAUAUUCAUUUACAUUUACAUUUAAGUCAUUUAGCAGACGCUCUUAUCCAGAGCGACUUACAAAUUGGUGAAUUCACCUUCUGACAUCCAGUGGAACAGCCACAUAUUCAUUAUCUCAGACAAGAUGGCUUUGGUUAUUCAGGGAUUGGCUAUCUGGGGCUUAAAAAUCGGUCUGCUGGCAGUAUCAACUAAAACUCUCAUCGUUAUUGGAAUUUUCACUGUUGUAGGAACUGCAACAUACUACCUUGCCAAAUCGCUUUAUGAGAAACAGAAGGCGGCUUAAACCUCAACAUGACUGACGACUGGAGAGGAGCCAGAGGUUGAUUACUGCUUUACUGCUCUGUUCAUUACAUGGGUUUUUACAAUGAGUUGUAAAGAGAAAUUGUCUAUAUGCUCUUGAGCAAGGCACUUAUCCAGAGUGACUUACAAGAGCAUUUAGGGUCAAAAUCUUCUGCUAAAUGUCUAAAAUAUAAAUAGGACUUCAAUUUCUGUGCACAUGUCUGCCCACAAUGGAUAGAGUGGACCAAUGAAUCCAGCUGUUUAUUAGAUGAACAAAAAAAUCUGUAUUACCUGUUCAUAUUGUCAUUUUCAAUUGUUUCCCAUGUAUAUCAAGACAUUUAAACAACCUAAAAGUUAAUAAUUGUAAUGUGUGGCAAAUAAAUGUAUUCAUCCCUCA